rnacentral:piRNA from 1 species
UACUGAAAUCAUGACACUAUU